ACCGCUUUGCAUGGGGUGAACAAUACCUCCGACUUGUUCAUGGGAUGCAGUGUAUCCAGCCCUCGGCUCUCCAACAUCUUCCUUGCCCUCUCAUCCUCCCACAGACAGAUAGAUAGAUAGAUAGAUGAGAGCAGGUAGCUGGCUACCGAACACACACAGUAACAAGAGCAGCACCAGUCCAUCCAUCUUAACUUCGCAGAAGCUGCCUUCCUCCUUCGAAGCAUACGUCUCAACAAACUUUUCCUGUCCUGAUUGCAUCUCGUUUAACUUGAAUUGCAGGAGAAGAGCGAGAGAGGAAACAUGCACUGACAUGUGUUCAUGCAAUUCUUCUUCUUCUUCUUCUUCCUAAUGGAUCUUAAAGUGAAGAACCAUUCAGGGAGAGGACCUCACACGGUUGUUUCUAAGAGUUGCCAAGAGCAGACCAGAGAGGAAACCAAGCUUCCGAGAGUGCCACUAGAUUUAUGGUUUUGAAGCAUCACUCACGAUUGACGAAAACCAAAACAUAGGAGACCGGAUUCUCUUCUCUCUCUUCCAUAGCUCGAUUUGUCGGACUCGUACGAAGACUGUUUGGUUUGGAGAUCUCUCGAGCCUCGGACUUCAUUUAAGAAGCUGGUUUUCAAUACGAAGGGGAAGAGUAGCACAUCGAUCUCGAAACCAUUAUUGAAGAAAAAUCUGCUCGUGGAAUAAAUUCAUCUGCUCGGUAAGCCUUGUUGGCAAGAAUGCAAAAGGAUCGGAGCGAUACAAGAUCUUUUCGGCCUGGAUCGACGGAAGGCAGAGGGAGGAGGAAAAGAUCGAUGAGCGGUUCGAGUACGGACAAGAGAAUCCUUCCGCCGCAAGAGCCAGACCAAGGAAGCUCAGCUUCCAACUAUUUCAGCAUGGAGUCAUUCCUUAUGCUCAUCUUCCUCACCAUGUCUCUGCUGAUACUUCCCCUUGUAUUGCCUCCACUGCCGCCUCCACCUUCCAUGUUGCUAUUACUUCCUCUAGGCAUACUUGCCUUACUGAUGAUCCUGGCUUUCAUGCCCCCAGAUAUAAGAAACAUUGCCUCCUCUUACUUGUAACUAUGUUGCGAAUUUUCGGUUCUCGCGAGAUAAGAGUAUUUGUAGAUUCAGAAA